UGAGGAAUUUUGCGCAAUGGGGGAAACCCUGACGCAGCAACGCCGCGUGAGUGAAGAAGGCCUUUGGGUCGUAAAGCUCUGUCAACUGGGAAGAAGUUACAUAUGAUUAACAGUGAUAUGUAUUGACGGUACCAGUGGAGGAAGCGCCGGCUAACUCCGUGCCAGCAGCCGCGGUAACACGGGGGGCGCAAGCGUUAUUCGGAAUUAUUGGGCGUAAAGGGCGCGUAGGCGGUUCUGUCGGUCAGAUGUGAAAGCCCGGGGCUCAACCCUGGAAGUGCAUUUGAAACAGCAGAACUUGAGUACGGGAGAGGAAAGCGGAAUUCCUGGUGUAGAGGUGAAAUUCGUAGAUAUCAGGAGGAACACCGAUGGCGAAGGCAGCUUUCUGGACCGAUACUGACGCUGAGGCGCGAAGGCGUGGGUAGCGAACA
rnacentral:rRNA from 1 species